AUACACAUACCAUAUAUAGUAACUACUUACUAACGGUGACCACCGUUAUAUAGUAACUAAUAAGCUAAGAGGCUCUCUUCACCUCCUAGGAUGUGACCGUUAUUAGUAACCUCACUGCUUUACUAUAGAAAAUAAACGGUCGGGUGUAGUCCUCGCGAGAGUUGUAAAAUCCGUCGCGAGAUAAUGCGAGACUAGACUUGCGGUUGGUUGCCGGCUUGGCUGAAAUGGACGACAGACGGGACGGCCUGGCGAUUUAUAUUUUCUCUUCAUCUCUACUCUGACCUGGACCAAUUCCUGGACCAUUUAUAGGCUACAUAUUCUGCAGUACGCCGAAGCAGAGGAAAUGGCAGCGGGUAGGAUUAAGAGUCGCAGCAUGCAAUACUGGGGAACCAGAAGGAGUCCCAAUGGAACCGCUUCACAUGCUGAUGUACAAGGGACUUAAACUGGGCUUCUAGUAGUUUUCUUUGCCCCAGGCCAUGGAGGAGUACCCGG